GGCGAACGGGUGAGUAACACGUGGGAAAUCUGCUUAGGAGUGGGGGAUAACAUUCGGAAACGGAUGCUAAUACCGCAUAUCUUUUUGAACCGCAUGGUUCUUAAACGAAAGACGGCUUCGGCUGUCGCUCUUAGAUGAUCCCGCGGCGUAUUAGUUAGUUGGUGGGGUAAAGGCCUACCAAGACCAUGAUACGUAGCCGACCUGAGAGGGUGAUCGGCCACACUGGGACUGAGACACGGUCCAGACUCCUACGGGAGGCAGCAGUGAGGAAUAUUGGUCAAUGGAGGCAACUCUGAACCAGCCAAGUCGCGUGAAGGAUGACAACCCUACGGGUUGUAAACUUCUUUUUUAAGGGAAUAAAGUGAGCCACGUGUGGCUUUUUGCAAGUACCUUACGAAUAAGGAUCGGCUAACUCCGUGCCAGCAGCCGCGGUAAUACGGAGGAUCCGAGCGUUAUCCGGAUUUAUUGGGUUUAAAGGGUGCGCAGGCGGAAUAUUAAGUCGGCGGUGAAAGUUUGCAGCUUAACUGUAAAAUUGCCGUUGAUACUGGUAUUCUUGAGUGUAUAUGAAGUAGGCGGAAUUUGUAGUGUAGCGGUGAAAUGCAUAGAUAUUACAAGGAACUCCGAUUGCGAAGGCAGCUUACUAAAUUACAACUGACGCUUAGGCACGAAGGCGUGGGUAUCAAACAGGAUUAGAUACCCUGGUAGUCCACGCAGUAAACGAUGAUUACUCGCUGUUUGCGAUACACAGUAAGCGGCUUAGCGAAAGCGUUAAG
rnacentral:rRNA from 1 species